rnacentral:tRNA from 1 species
UAAGUAGCAGUUUAAGAAAAUAUUUGACUGUUAAUCAAAAGGAGCACAUAAGUGUCUACUUAG